GACGAACGCUGGCGGCGUGCCUAAUACAUGCAAGUCGAGCGAAGUUUUUCCGGUGCUUGCACCGGAAAAACUUAGCGGCGACCGGGUGAGUAACACGUAAAGAACCUGCCUCAUAGACUGGGACAACUAUUGGAAACGAUAGCUAAUACCGGAUAAUAGCAUUAACUGCAUGGUUGAUGUUUAAAAGUUGGUUUUGCUAACACUAUGAGAUGGCUUUGCGGUGCAUUAGCUAGUUGGUGGGGUAAAGGCCUACCAAGGCGACGAUGCAUAGCCGACCUGAGAGGGUGAUCGGCCACACUGGGACUGAGACACGGCCCAGACUCCUACGGGAGGCAGCAGUAGGGAAUCUUCCGCAAUGGGCGAAAGCCUGACGGAGCAACGCCGCGUGAGUGAAGAAGGAUUUCGGUUCGUAAAGCUCUGUUGUUAGGGAAGAAUGAUUGUGUAGUAACUAUACACAGUAGAGACGGUACCUAACCAGAAAGCCACGGCUAACUACGUG
rnacentral:rRNA from 1 species